CAACAACAUCGCCUCCUGCAACACAACCAAGUAUAGGAGGUCCAGCCUGCCCAGUGACUACAAGUUCAACGGCCGCGGUAUUUUGACCGUGCAAAGGUAGCGCAAUCACUUGUCUCUUAAAUGGAGACCUGUAUGAAUGGCUAAACGAGGGCUUAACUGUCUCCCCCCUCCAGUCAGUGAAAUUGAUCUAUCCGUGCAGAAGCGGGUAUAAUAAUACAAGACGAGAAGACCCUUUGGAGCUUAAGGUACAAGAAUCAGCCACGUCAAGCAACUUAAUAAAGAGCAAAAACUUUGUGGACAAUGAUUUUUUACCUUCGGUUGGGGCGACCACGGAGGAAAAAAGAGCCUCCAGGUGGACUGGGAAAACAUCCUAAAGCUAAGAGAGACAUCUCUAGGCCGCAGAACAUCUGACCAAUCAUGAUCCGGCUGACAAAGCCGAUCAACGAACCAAGUUACCCUAGGGAUAACAGCGCAAUCCUCUCCCAGAGUCCAUAUCGACGAGGGGGUUUACGACCUCGAU
rnacentral:rRNA from 1 species